UUUGUACUCCCUCCGUCCAGAAAUACUUAUCAUUAAAAUAAAUAAAAAGGGAUGUAUCUAGAUGUAUUUUAAUUCUAGAUACAUCUUUUUUUUUGUCCAUUUUGAUGACAAGUAUUUUCGGACGGAGGGAGUAAGGU
rfam:Triticum aestivum genome assembly, contig: Triticum_aestivum_CS42_TGACv1_scaffold_289061_4AL